rnacentral:rRNA from 1 species
CGGGCGAGUAACACGUGGAUAACCUACCUAUAAGACUGGGAUAACUUCGGGAAACCGGAGCUAAUACCGGAUAACUAUAUUGAACCGCAUGGUUCAAUAGUGAAAGAUGGUUUUGCUGUCACUUAUAGAUGGAUCCGCGCCGCAUUAGCUAGUUGGUAAGGUAACGGCUUACCAAGGCAACGAUGCGUAGCCGACCUGAGAGGGUGAUCGGCCACACUGGAACUGAGACACGGUCCAG